AAACUAUCCCUUUCAGCACAAAUCUGCCUGGAGCUGUUUCCUGAACACAGGACCAAAAGGCAGGAAUCAAAAGUAGUAAUGAGUUUAGUUAUCUGUCUGUUACUGAAGGUGACUUCUAGGGCAUCCUCCUGGCAUUGCUUCUGGAAUACAGUGACUUAGACUUAUUCGGAAGAACAUCUCUAUGCUGUUCAUCACAUCGCCAGCACCUAGCCCUGUGCCUGUGCAUAGUAAAUGCUCAGAAAAGAAAAAACAACAAAGUUUCCAGCUCUUACUCUAGAUUGACACUGGACCUUGGAGAUGCUUGCAGGUAAUUUGACUGCACCUACUUUCCUUUUUUGGUUAAUUGUGUUAAAUGUGCCUCAUAACUUACAUUCCCGGUGAGGCUGUCAUUUAGAAGGGGUGGGUGGGGGCUGAGGGGAAGCUGUUUUAAUUCUGGCUUUUGUUUCAGCCACUAAAUGUAAUGCCACAUGAUUGUUGACCCAACAAUAAUCCAGUUAAAAAACAGUCUUCAGAGUUACUACAUCAUCAGAAUUAACCCUGAUUACAUCAAAUUAUGUUGAAACAGACCACAGCUGUUUGCCCUGUUGAAGCAACUGCUUGAGAGCUCCUCCGGAAGAUACAUCUGGGUGUCACUAAGAUACAUUUUGGGUUUAGUUUUGUUUCUCAACACAAAUGUAGGAGGGAAACAAACCCUGUUCUGCUGGGGUGCCUGGUGGGAGCUGAAAACCUUGUGAUUCUCCAGCAGUCAAAAGUCAUCUCAAUUACCAAAGAGAAGGGAACCUGAGAUCUUUUGUUUCAGUUUUCUAUAGGAAGGAUGUAAGAGGAAGGAAAUUCAAAUCUGUUGAGUAUUGCUCUUGCCAGCAAAAAGAAGUGGAACUGACUAGUGAGAUGGUGGUGAGAUUUUCUUUGGUGGCUGUGUGCAGUGGUAUCAACCCAGGAGAGUAGACUGUUCAAUUGUGAAGAAUUUUGCAAGAUGGUUGUUAAAGUAGAACAUCGUUAAAAUUAAGUUGUAAUAAAAAAAGGGAAAUAAGCAUUGGAAAAGAUGUGGACAGAUUGGAACCCUCAUACAUUGCUGAUGGGAAUGUAAAAUGGUGUAGCCACUGUGGAAAAAAGGUCAGCAGUUCCUUAAAAAGUUAAACAGUGUCACCAUAUGACUCAGCAUUUUCACUCCUAGAUAAAUACGUAGAUUGAAAACGUAUGUCCACACAAAAACUUGUACAGGAAUGAUCGCAACAGCAUUAUUCAUAAUAGCCAAAAAGUGGAAACAACUGUAAUGUUCAUCAGCUGAUGAAUGGAUAAAAUGCGGUAUAUAAAGAACUGUCAAGUGCUUCAACAUGGAUGAAACUUGAAAACAUUAUACAAAGCGAAAGAGGUUAGACACACAGGUCACAUAUUGUAUGAAUAUGGUUAUGUGAAAUGUCUAGAAUUGGCAAAUCCAUAGAGAUGAAAAGUAGGUUAGCGGUUGCCAGCUGAUGGGAUUGGGGGAAUGGAGAGUUGCUAAUGGAUAUGGUGUUUCUUUUGGGGUAAUGAAAAUGUUCUGGAAUUAGAUAGCUGUGGUGGUUGUCAAAGUUGAUGAAUAUAUUAGAAACCAUGAAUUAUAAACUUUAACAUGGUGACUUUUGUGAUACGUGAAUAUCUUAAUUAAAAAUUAAGUUAUAUAAACUUAUAAUUAAAUAAGUUAUAUUAAAAAGAAAGGUAGUAACUACCCCAAACUCAUCACUUGGCUAAUUACAUUUUACUAUUGUGUUCUUGGUGUUAUUUAUGUCUAUUGUGUCUUUAUGUUGGAAAUACUAAAUAAUGGUGUAUUACUGUGUAUCUCUUAACUCUGUAUUCAAGGACAUUAACUUGAUAGCUUAAAACUGGCCAUGGCUGGCAGAGUAUUUAUGCCACAACAGUUGGCAUAUACUGUAAAUCAAGGCACCCACCAACACCACCAGGGAGCCAAUUUUAAAAUAUUUGCCAGCACAUCAUUGGCUAUAUUGUCGGACAAUCAUCUUGGGUAAUUCUGGUAGAAUUAUAUAGUUAGAUGAGGUGAAAUCCUGAGGCCUCUAGGUUCCCAGCAAAACAAAGACUAGCAAGCCUGCACAGUUACUAUGCAAUUUAUCAGGUGCAGAAGGAAAUGACGUUUCUGGUCAUCUGUUGAAUAAAGCCACUUUGAGUUCAGGGGACAUGGUUUUCUCCAGCUUCACUAGUGUUGCAUCUGGUACAAGGGGUUAAGUGCUAAACCCCUGUAGGAUUGUCACAGUGAAGCCAGAUAACAGAGUAACCGCAAAGAGAUUUAAUUCUGUAGUCCCACAAAGGAGGGUGUGUAAAGAGUGUACAACAGUGUCAGAGUUUGGAAACCAAGGGUUGACAAAGUUGGUUCUCUGGAAUCUGGGGGUACCAGUUAAAAGGUUAAAAGGAGUCAUUGUUUUCUGAAACUAUCCAAGAGUUACAGCCAUGUUUUUUUGUUUUUGUUUUUGUUUUUAAGAUUUCGGGGGAA
rnacentral:lncRNA from 1 species